CAAGUCGAGCGGCAGCACGGGAAGCUUGCUUCCUGGUGGCGAGCGGCGGACGGGUGAGUAAUGCAUAGAAAUCUGCCCGGUAGUGGGGGAUAACCUGGGGAAACCCAGGCUAAUACCGCAUACGUCCUACGGGAGAAAGCAGGGGAUCUUCGGACCUUGCGCUAUCGGAUGAGUCUAUGUCGGAUUAGCUUGUUGGUGAGGUAAUGGCUCACCAAGGCGACGAUCCGUAGCUGGUCUGAGAGGAUGAUCAGCCACAUCGGGACUGAGACACGGCCCGAACUCCUACGGGAGGCAGCAGUGGGGAAUAUUGGACAAUGGGCGAAAGCCUGAUCCAGCCAUGCCGCGUGUGUGAAGAAGGCCUUCGGGUUGUAAAGCACUUUCAGUGGGGAAGAAAGCCUUGGGGCUAAUACCCUCGAGGAAGGACAUCACCCACAGAAGAAGCACCGGCUAACUCCGUGCCAGCAGCCGCGGUAAUACGGAGGGUGCGAGCGUUAAUCGGAAUUACUGGGCGUAAAGCGCGCGUAGGCGGUCUGAUAAGCCGGUUGUGAAAGCCCCGGGCUCAACCUGGGAACGGCAUCCGGAACUGUCAGGCUAGAGUGCAGGAGAGGAAGGUAGAAUUCCCGGUGUAGCGGUGAAAUGCGUAGAGAUCGGGAGGAAUACCAGUGGCGAAGGCGGCCUUCUGGACUGACACUGACGCUGAGGUGCGAAAGCGUGGGUAGCAAACAGGAUUAGAUACCCUGGUAGUCCACGCCGUAAACGAUGUCGACUAGCCGUUGGGGUCCUUGAGAGCUUUGUGGCGCAGUUAACGCGAUAAGUCGACCGCCUGGGGAGUACGGCCGCAAGGUUAAAACUCAAAUGAAUUGACGGGGGCCCGCACAAGCGGUGGAGCAUGUGGUUUAAUUCGAUGCAACGCGAAGAACCUUACCUACCCUUGACAUCG
rnacentral:rRNA from 1 species